rnacentral:rRNA from 1 species
CCUACGGGUGGCUGCAGUGAGGAAUAUUGGUCAAUGGACGAGAGUCUGAACCAGCCAAGUAGCGUGAAGGAUGACUGCCCUAUGGGUUGUAAACUUCUUUUAUAUGGGAAUAAAAUGUUCCACGUGUGGGAUUUUGUAUGUACCAUAUGAAUAAGGAACGGCUAACUCCGUGCCAGCAGCCGCGGUAAUACGGAGGAUCCGAGCGUUAUCCGGAUUUAUUGGGUUUAAAGGGAGCGUAGGUGGAUUGUUAAGUCAGUUGUGAAAGUUUGCGGCUCAACCGUAAAAUUGCAGUUGAAACUGGCAGUCUUGAGUACAGUAGAGGUGGGCGGAAUUCGUGGUGUAGCGGUGAAAUGCGUAGAGAUCACGAAGAACUCCGAUUGCGAAGGCAGUUCACUGGACUGCAACUGACACUGAGGCUCGAAAGUGUGGGUAUCAAACAGGAUUAGAUACCCCUGUAGUC